rnacentral:rRNA from 1 species
GACGAACGCUGGCGGCGUGCCUAAUACAUGCAAGUAGAACGCAGUUGCGAACGGGUGAGUAACGCGUAGGUAACUGCCUGGUAGCGGGGGAUAACUAUUGGAAACGAUAGCUAAUACCGCAUACUACCAGAUGGACCUGCGUUGUAUUAGCUAGUUGGUGAGGUAACGGCUCACCAAGGCAACGAGAAAUAGCCGACCUGAGAGGGUGAAUGGCCACACUAGGACUUGUAAACGGCCCAGACACCUACGGGAGGCAGCAGUAGGGAAUCUUCGGCAAUGGGGGGAAACCUGACCGCGCAACGGCGCGUGAGAGGAGAAGGUUUUCGGAUCGUAAAGCUCUGUUGUUAAGGAAGCGGUACUUAACCAAAAAGGGACGGCUAACUACGUGCCAGCAGCCGCGGUAAUUC